rnacentral:rRNA from 1 species
CCCUUAGACGUUCUGGGCCGCACGCGCGCUACACUGACCAGUGCAACAAGCAUCCGUCCUUGGCCGACAGGCUCGGGCAAUCUUUGAACGCUGGUCGUGAUGGGGAUAGACUUUUGCAAUUUUUGGUCUUCAACGAGGAAUUCCUAGUAAACGCAAGUCAUCAACUUGCAUUGAUUACGUCCCUGCCCUUUGUACACACCGCCCGUCGCUCCUACCGAUGGGGUGAUCCGGUGAAUGAUUCGGACUCUGUAGACUCGCCAUGAGUUUUGACGGAGAAAGUCUUGUGAACCUUAUCACUUGGAGGAAGGAGAANUCGUAACA